UACGUAGGGGGCAAGCGUUAUCCGGAAUUACUGGGUGUAAAGGGAGUGUAGGCGGGAUGGCAAGUUAGGUGUGAAAUGCGGAGGCUCAACCUCCGAGCUGCACUUAAAACUGCUGUUCUUGAGUGAAGUAGAGGCAGGCGGAAUUCCUAGUGUAGCGGUGAAAUGCGUAGAUAUUAGGAGGAACAUCAGUGGCGAAGGCGGCCUGCUGGGCUUUUACUGACGCUGAGACACGAAAGCGUGGGGAGCAA
rnacentral:rRNA from 1 species